rnacentral:rRNA from 1 species
GCGACGAUCCGUAACUGGUCUGAGAGGAUGAUCAGUCACACUGGAACUGAGACACGGUCCAGACUCCUACGGGAGGCAGCAGUGGGGAAUAUUGGACAAUGGGCGAAAGCCUGAUCCAGCCAUGCCGCGUGUGUGAAGAAGGUCUUCGGAUUGUAAAGCACUUUAAGUUGGGAGGAAGGGCAUUAACCUAAUACGUUAGUGUUUUGACGUUACCGACAGAAUAAGCACCGGCUAACUCUGUGCCAGCAGCCGCGGUAAUACAGAGGGUGCAAGCGUUAAUCGGAAUUACUGGGCGUAAAGCGCGCGUAGGUGGUUUGUUAAGUUGAAUGUGAAAGCCCCGGGCUCAACCUGGGAACUGCAUCCAAAACUGGCAAGCUAGAGUACGGUAGAGGGUGGUGGAAUUUCCUGUGUAGCGGUGAAAUGCGUAGAUAUAGGAAGGAACACCAGUGGCGAAGGCGACCACCUGGACUGAUACUGACACUGAGGUGCGAAA